AACAAAGAUUUAUACUAAUUGCUGAAGAUAAGAAGGAAUAAGAUAUGAUCUCUAUACAUGAUAUAUUUUGGGAAGAAAUUGGCUAAGAAGAUAUCAUGUGCUCUUGAAGAAUGAAGUUUUUUAAGUAGAAAAGAGAUUGGAAUUAAAUGUCACGUGGAAAAAAGCCAACAUGGCAUUCUGUUAAGAAGAUAGACAACCUAAGUGACGUCUAUCCUGCUUCAAAGACAAAACUCAGGAGGCUGUACAUUCAUUUAGAGCAGAGUAGACGAAACCUCCUAUUCUCUGGCUUGGGAACCAGGAGGAAUCACUGACUGAGAUUUGCCAACCAGACCUCUAUGAAGUGAGCUCUAUCACAUGGUACGUUUAUGAGAAGAGGAACCAGCAAUGUUUCCUUCCAUCUUCAACUAUACUAACAAGAUCCAUCU
rnacentral:lncRNA from 1 species